rnacentral:rRNA from 1 species
CCUACGGGAGGCAGCAGUGAGGAAUAUUGGACAAUGGGCGCAAGCCUGAUCCAGCCAUGCCGCGUGCAGGAAGAAGGUCCUAUGGAUUGUAAACUGCUUUUAUACAGGAAGAAACACUCCCUCGUGAGGGAACUUGACGGUACUGUAUGAAUAAGGACCGGCUAACUCCGUGCCAGCAGCCGCGGUAAUACGGAGGGUCCAAGCGUUAUCCGGAAUCAUUGGGUUUAAAGGGUCCGUAGGCGGCCAAAUAAGUCAGUGGUGAAAGCCCAUCGCUCAACGAUGGAACGGCCAUUGAUACUGUUUGGCUUGAAUUAUUAGGAAGUAACUAGAAUAUGUAGUGUAGCGGUGAAAUGCUUAGAGAUUACAUGGAAUACCAAUUGCGAAGGCAGGUUACUACUAAUAUAUUGACGCUGAUGGACGAAAGCGUGGGGAGCGAACAGGAUUAGAUACCCUGGUAGUCCACGCCGUAAACGAUGGAUACUAGCUGUUCGGAGCAAUCUGAGUGGCUAAGCGAAAGUGAUAAGUAUCCCACCUGGGGAGUACGUUCGCAAGAAUUGAAACUCAAAGNUAGUCGCGNGNGAGAGACGACGACGACGACGACGGAGGAGGAGG